rnacentral:rRNA from 1 species
GUCUGUGACCAUGCCACCCUGAACAAGCCCAAUCCUGUCUGAUCUUGAAAGCUAAGCAGGGUCGGGCCUGGUUAGUACUUGGAUGGGAGACUACCUAUGAAUACCAGGUGCUGUAGACA